GGAGGGUGCGAGCGUUGUUCGGAAUUACUGGGCGUAAAGCGCGUGUAGGCGGCCUUGCAAGUCAGGCGUGAAAGCCCUCGGCUUAACCGGGGAAGUGCGUCUGAAACUGCUUGGCUUGAGUACGGGAGAGGGAGGCGGAAUUCCCAGUGUAGAGGUGAAAUUCGUAGAUAUUGGGACGAACACCGGUGGCGAAAGCGGCCUCCUGGACCGAUACUGACGCUGAGACGCGAAAGCGUGGGGAGCAAACAGGAUUAGAUACCCUGGUAGUCCACGCGGUAAACGANGGNCACUAGGUGUGGGGGGUAUCCACUCCUCCCGUGCCGAAGCUAACGCAUUAAGUGCCCCGCCUGGGGAGUACGGCCGCAAGGUUA
rnacentral:rRNA from 1 species